GUUCGCCUCCUCAUCGGUUUUGACACUACCAAGAAGCGUGGCGUCUUCCCUCUUUUGUUUUUUUUUUUUUGUUUUGCAUGUCUUUGCUUACUGCACAAAGUAUUUGACCACUCCACCGCCCAGUUAUGUUCGUCUGCUAUUCUCUCAGUCUAAAUCCGAACGGCGACCAUGAUUUUCUCCGUCUCCACAAUCGCCUACUUUCGCUAAUAUCCACCGCCAACCUUCUUCUACCCUCUUAAAAUCCAAUAUUCUUACAAAGUCCUUUUCAUCUUUCUUUAGAGAUCGAUCGGUCGAUCGAGAUGGCAUUGAACGGGAAAAUGCGAGCCUGGCCACCAGAGAAAAGGUAGCGGUGGUGGGAAUGGACUGCCGAAGAUACAAAUGCAUAUGAUGCUGAAGGCACAUACCAUCGAUGAGCUAUAUUCUCUUUAGCAGUAGAAGCUGGCACCAACCGCGUCGGUCGACUCCGUUCAAGGUGACGAUUCCCGUGUUUUGUUGUGUGUUAACAGAAACGAAUAAAGGGGAAAUCAGCCGCUGAUACAGAAGGAAGCAGCCCUGUGUUGUUGUAUCAGUACUGUUCAGCCCUAAUUUCUUCAACUCUUCCCUUCUGCUAGACAAACUUUUAAGAGGGAAUUUGCACUUAGGAUUGUAACUAAUCAGGUAUGUUUUCUAAUAAUUAAAUGUUUAAACUUUUAGAUGCUUUCAUAUCACUCGCUUCCUCAUUCACUCCUAAUUCUUGGAAUUCAUGUUCUUCACAAAUUGUUCAUUAAUGGGGUUUAUCCUAAUGUGAGGCCAAGCAGCUGAAAUGAUUAAAAUAUAAGAAUUGAGGUAUGCAAGUAAUUACGCAAAGAAAUGAUGGUUUGCUUAAUUUGUAGGAGAAAUUGCUCUUAUACAGUUUGUGAAAGUUUAUAUAUCAUAAAAGGGGGGAAGUGCCAGUGGAUGCCUUCUAUUGUUUGAUGUAGAUGCAUAUAACAUUGUUUCUGAUAUUAGGUUGUUUUCUUCUAUGUAUAUGAGAUUGGAAAUUUUUAAGUUUGCAGUGCGAAAUUGGCUUACAAAGGAAAUGAUUAAUAAGAAACUUCAGCGAUAGAGGUGUCCACAGAUCAUACAAGAACAAAAAUCACCUUCUUGAAAUUCACUUGGAAGAAAGGUGGUGAAGCUGAGACUUUUCGUUAAUCAACUAGCAUGUGUGGAACUUAAUCGUGGGACUUGGAUGGUUCAUGGUGUAGUUGUAGUGUCAUGGAGCAUAGGUGAUGUUCAUUUGAAAGAUUGGUUAUUGAGUGAACCUGAAAGGACAAUUUUACCCUUGACUGAUGAGUUGGAGUAUCCAAUAUUGGUUUCUGAUGGAGUGUGGGAUGACGUACAUAACACAUGAAAGUUGCGAAAUAAGUCAAUGCAGAAUGCUUCAAAUGCAUAAAAGAAAAUGUGAAACAAGUUUCUUCACAACAAAAUGUGACACAAGCUUUGAUAAUAUUGGCGAAAAAAAUUAGUUAGGAUAUGUUAACUGUUGGAAAUACCCUUUGAAAUCUUAUAUUUAACUCAAGAAGUAAUUUGUUUGUCAAUUAUGUUAUGCAACUUGACCAUAGGAAGAAAGAUUAUAAUUUUGGGUUCAGGUUCAGAGUUGGAGAAUAGGUGAACAGGGCAGGUAGGAAAUAGUAAACCUGGGUUGGUUUUCAAUUAAUCCAAAGAUACGAUUUUUUUUUAUCUUUUGUUAAUUUAUUAGUCAACGAAAUUAUGAUCAAGUCAAUGUUUUUAAUUCGUGGGACGCAGGAAGGCCAAAAAGCUGAGAUCACGAAAUGAAAGAAGAGUUUGACAUUUAAAACUGCCCCACUGCUAAAUUUUUACAAAAAUUCCCCUCUGAAAGUAGAACUAAAGAAGGUAACUUACUAUUUUUUCUUUGGCGGAAUUUUGCACUUAUUUCCCCAUUAGCUUUGUGUUUUAGACAUCUAUGUUGAACAAGAAACAAAAUGACAAUGCUUAUUCUUCAAGAGACCCUUUACAACGUAAAUUACUAUGAUACCCUUGGUAGAGAAUUGCAUAUCAAAUUACUAUUUUGUCAUUUUAUAUAUAUUAAAUGCAUGUCGAAAAUCUCCAAAGCUGAGCAGAAACAUCUGCUCUGUGGCCGAAUCAUCAAGUAGGAAGGUUAGAAAAUUCUUUUAAUAUUUGUAGUAAUAGAGUUUUUUUUAUGCAAAGAUUUUCAGGUUGGUUUUUGUGAUAUGAAUAGUGUGGUGAAAGAUUGUCUUUUUUUUUUUUUUUUUUUGCAAAAGGGUUGUCUCUACAUGUUUAUAUGAUAUGAUGUAAUGAAUCUUUCUUUGAAUCCAAAUGCGAUUUUUUU